rnacentral:rRNA from 1 species
GACGAACGCUGGCGGCGUGCUUAACACAUGCAAGUCGAACGGGAUUUAGUAAACAGAAACCUUGGUGGAAGAUUACUAAUGAGAGUGGCGAACGGGUGAGUAACGCGUGAGCAACCUGCCUAUGACAGUGGGAUAGCCUCGGGAAACCGGGAUUAAUACCGCAUAAAAUCGUAGAAACACAUGUUUUAACGGUCAAAGAUUUAUCGGUCAUAGAUGGGCUCGCGUCUGAUUAGCUAGUUGGUGAGAUAACAGCCCACCAAGGCGACGAUCAGUAGCCGGUCUGAGAGGAUGAACGGCCACAUUGGAACUGAGACACGGUCCAAACUCCUACGGGAGGCAGCAGUGGGGAAUAUUGCACAAUGGGGGAAACCCUGAUGCAGCGACGCCGCGUGAACGAAGAAGGUAUUCGUAUCGUAAAGUUCUGUCCUAUGGGAAGAUAAUGACAGUACCAUAGAAGAAAGCUCCGGCUAAAUACGUG